rnacentral:hammerhead_ribozyme from 1 species
ACGCGAAACCGGGGCCUUGCGAGGCCCUGGUCGCCGGGCGGUGGUGCGCCCGGCCUGAUGAGCAGCCUGAG